CUACACUCAAAUUAAUCAACUGAUAUAUUCUAUGUGCGAAACUCGCGUAGAACACUCGGCUAAGCAUAUUUUCUCGUUUUAAGUGCGCAUCUUACAAAUUAUGUGCAAACCUAUUAAAACACAUGACUGAUUUGCAUAAUUUAUGAGUGCAACAGCUGUCACUAUUAAACUAUUAUCCAUCACACAUACAUUCUAAAAUAAAGCAUAAUAUACAUAAAAAACAACAACUUGCAGGAAAACAAUCAAAAACUUCUCCGAUUUUGUUACACGAGACCCUAUAUACUAAAGGUCCUGAAAGCUGAAAGGUGCAGAUAUGAAAUGCGGAACGUUACUUCAGACGGCUUCAGAUGCUUUGAAAAUGGCAGCUCUUGGUAGAAACUUUCCAAAUGAAGAUCAUAACCAGCAAAACUGAAUUCCUGUGACCAUAGCCCAUCUUUCGCGGACAGGGGAGUGUGUGCUCCGGCUAUAAUUUCUUAAACUGGAGGAUAUUCGAGAUAGUCGAAGGAAAUUCCACAUACAUUGACACAUUAAGAUGUUUUAUACGUAUCUUGCAAUAAAUAUGAUAACCUA